rnacentral:lncRNA from 1 species
GGACAAGUAAGUUUUGGGUGAAGCAGGAACCUCCAAGUCCCUGGUUUAGAGUCUUCUUGGAGUCUUCAAGCACUGAACAAAAGCAGUCAUUGUUUGGAAGAACCAAGAUGAAAGGCAUGAAACUUAAGCAAAAUAUGGGAAAGUAAAUGAUGAAGAAUCACAGAAGGAAAAGAAGGUCUGUGUCUUCUCCAAUGGCUCAUUUGUGAAAAGUCUCCUGUUCAGGAGAUGCGAGUUCAAU